GCAGUGUCAGCCCAAUUUGGAGGAGCCUUGGAAUUUACUUUUCAUGAAAGAAUAUAGAAGAGGAAAGAAAUCACAGUAAGGCUGAAUUAUGAACUCCCAGAAAUGGAGGACAAGAACUUAUUGUAUUCUGGAAGCUGAAUUUAUUGCUCUUGACUAGUGCUGGGCAAUGAGGCUGUAAAGACCCAUCCUGCCUGCAAGAAUACACACCACCACACUCCACAUGGAAGAAAUAC